rnacentral:tRNA from 1 species
UCUAAUAUGGCAGAAAAGUGCAAUGGAUUUAAGCUCCAUACAUAAAGGUCUACCUUUUAUUAGAA